rnacentral:lncRNA from 1 species
CUUUUCAUUCCCGUUGUUAUGGAGGGCCACAUCUGCCAGAGCCUGGAGUCUGCGAAGGCCGGGACCCGGUUCCCCGGCCCACAGUGGGGGUGUGCAAACCCGAGAGAACUGGUCGCUGAAACCUCUACAACUUAGUUGACCGUAACUGCCAGAGCCCUGCCCUGAAUUCCUGUCCUUACUCCCUCUUUAAGAUUGCGUACCCACUGCAGAGUGCUGAAGACGGGGUAGCCACGAGGUUGCAAAUUCGUGAAGAAUCAGCAUCAUGUUUGGCAGCUGAGUAUUGGAGCCAGGAGCCUGCCAUGAGGUUUUGAGAACAGAGUGCUGUUUUAGAGCUGGCAGCAGCAUCUCAGCCCAAGAGAAGUUUCUUUGCAGGUUAUAUUCCCAGAGGAUGUCAGUCCCAAGGACCAGUAGCUGCCAUCAGUUUGGAUUCUGAAAACUAACUGGCAUCAACACUGGGUGUAGAAACAUGCUUGCCUUAUGUAUCAGAGGACAUGCUCAGCAGAUCCAAGAGAUAUAUUUGGCAACUUUUUCUAGAAAAGGCACAUUGGGUAUCAUUCAUUACAUUCUUGAGUUUUUUUGGGUUUUUUUUUUUUUUUUUGAGACAGUCUUGCUGUAUUGCCCAGGCUGGAGUGUGGUGGCACAAUCACAGCUCAUUGCAUCCUCAAUCACCCAGGCCUAAGCAAUCCUCCCACCUUGUAGCUGGGACUACAGCUCACAGCACACCUGGCUAAAAUUUUUUUUUUGUUGAGACGGAUUCUCUAUGUUGCCCAGGCUGGUCUCAGGCUCCUGGGCUCAGAUGGUCCUCCUGCCUCAGCUUCCAAAGGCACAGGCCAAGUUGUAGCUUUGUCCCUUGCCAUCAUGCCCAACAAGAGGUUCUAUACCUUUUAAUGAAUUGACUUUCAUAAAUUGGUUAUGUUGGUGGGCAAAGUUCUUUAAGCUGGAAAUUGUAAAUUCCUCCUGAAAUGUUUUUUCAUGCAGUUACCAUGAACUAAUACUACAAUAAAGGAUGGUCUUGGGUGUCAA